rnacentral:rRNA from 1 species
CCUACGGGAGGCAGCAGUGGGGAAUAUUGCACAAUGGGCGCAAGCCUGAUGCAGCGACGCCGCGUGGGGGAUGACGGCCUUCGGGUUGUAAACUCCUUUCGCUAGGGACGAAGCGCAAGUGACGGUACCUGGAGAAGAAGCACCGGCUAACUACGUGCCAGCAGCCGCGGUAAU